AUGGCAAAUUCCAAAGGACGCCUAUGAUUGUCGGCGUAACUUUUCUGAUGGCUUUGGGCAAUAGCCAAGUUCUUGCGGAUGAUUGCGACCUUCUCAAUGGUCUCUUGAAUGGAGUCUAGUCCCAAAUGACGCUUGUUUCCAAUCUCACUCCAACAAGUGGGAGAACGACAAGACCUUCUAGAGAAUGCUUCAUAUGUAGCCAUGCUGAUGCUGGAAUGAUAACGGUUAUUAUAAGAAAA
rnacentral:lncRNA from 1 species